UACGGGGGGAGCAAGCGUUGUUCGGAUUUACUGGGCGUAAAGGGCGCGUAGGCGGUCAGCACAAGUCAGUUGUGAAAUCUCCGGGCUUAACUCGGAAAGGUCAACUGAUACUGUGCGACUAGAGUGCAGAAGGGGCAACUGGGAUUCUCGGUGUAGCGGUGAAAUGCGUAGAUAUCGAGAGGAACACCUGCGGCGAAGGCGGGUUGCUGGGCUGACACUGACGCUGAUGCGCGAAAGCCAGGGGAGCGAACGGG
rnacentral:rRNA from 1 species